rnacentral:rRNA from 1 species
GACGAACGCUGGCGGCGUGCUUAACACUUGCAAGUCGAACGGAAAGGCGCUGCUAUUGUGGUGUGCUCGAGUGACGAACGGAGGAGUAACACGUGAGUAACCUGCCCUUGACUAUGGGAUAACUUCAGGAAAAUAGGGCUAAUAACGCGUAGGAGCUCCUGCUGCAUAGUGGGGGAUGGAAAGUUUCGGCGGUUGGGGAUGGACUGGCCGCGUAUCGGCUUGUUGGUGGGGUAGUGGCUUACCAGGGCUUGGACGGGUAGCGUGGCUGGGAGGAUAGGCUGCCAGAUUAGGAUGGAGAUACGGCCCAGACUCCUACGGGAGGCAGCGGAGGGGAGUAGUACACAGUGGGCGGAAGCCUGCUGCAGCAACGCCGCGUGCGGUAAGACGGCCUUCGGGUUGUAAACCGCUUUCGUCUGUGAUGAAGCGUUAGUGACGGUAAUGGGUAAAGAAGCACCGGCUAACUACGUG